CCUACGGGGGGCAGCAGUGAGGAAUAUUGGUCAAUGGUCGGGAGACUGAACCAGCCAAGCCGCGUGAGGGAGGAAGGUACAGAGUAUCGUAAACCUCUUUUGUCAGGGAACAAAGACUGGGACGCGUCCCCGGAUGAGUGUACCUGAAGAAAAAGCAUCGGCUAACUCCGUGCCAGCAGCCGCGGUAAUACGGAGGAUGCGAGCGUUAUCCGGAUUUAUUGGGUUUAAGGGGUGCGUAGGCGGUCUGUUAAGUCAGCGGGCAAAGCCCGGGGCUCACCCCCGGCCCGCCGUUGAAACUGGCAGUCUCGAGUUGGGUAGAGGUAUGCGGAAUGCGCGGUGUAGCGGUGAAAUGCAUAGAUAUCGCGCAGAACUCCGAUUGCGAAGGCAGCAUGCCGGCUCCACACUGACGCUGAGGCACGAAAGCGUGGGUAUCGAACAGGAUUAGAUACCCUGGUAGUC
rnacentral:rRNA from 1 species